rnacentral:snoRNA from 1 species
AACCCAGGGUGAGGGCACCUUCUCAAAAGGUCCUUGUAUCUCUCCUAUGCAUCGUAGAGUAUUUCUAAAUCCAUUUGUACAAAAGAAGAGGUAUCAUUACGUAAUUU